rnacentral:rRNA from 1 species
UACAGAGGUCUCAAGCGUUUGUUCGGAUUCAUUGGGCGUAAAGGGUGCGUAGGUGGCGCCUAAGUCAGGUGUGAAAUCUCGGGGCUCAACCCCGAAACUGCACUUGAUACUGUGGUGCUUGAGUACUGGAGAGGAGAUUGGAAUUUACGGUGUAGCAGUGAAAUGCGUAGAUAUCGUAAGGAAGACCGUGGCGAAGCGAAUCUCUGGACAGUUACUGACACUGGAGGCACGAAGGCCAGGGAGACAAAGCGGGAUUAGACU